GUUUGCAGAGUGUUAUAUCAAGGCACCUCAGUGGGAAGAAAAAGUGUGGCAGAAAACGCUACACAACGAGAAGAGGUGACCGGACCCUGAGGAAGAUUGUGGAGAAGGGCCGAUUUCAGACCUUGAGGGACCUGCGGAAGCAGUGGACUGAGUCUGGAGUAGAAACAUCCAGAGCCACUGUGCACAGGCGUGUGCAGGAAAUGGGCUACAGGUGCCGCA